rnacentral:rRNA from 1 species
AGAGUUUGAUCCUGGCUCAGAAUGAACGUUGGCGGCGUGGAUUAGGCAUGCAAGUCGUACGGGCCGCAAGGCCAGUGGCGCAAGGGUGAGUAAUGCGACGGUAACCAACCCCAGAAAUGGGCAUAGCCGCGGGAAACUGCGGGUAAUUCCCAGCGAAAUCGCGAUGAGGCAUCUCGUUGCGAUCAAAGCUCCGGCGUUCU